rnacentral:lncRNA from 1 species
CAUGUCUUCAACAUCUGGAAAACUCCAAUGCACACAUGUGAGAAAUAUGGACUUUGGAGCUGGGCAGCCCUUUUGUGACCAUGAGGCAACAUUGAAGAUGCAAGCCACAUGCUAAGACAGAAGAAAAUAAAGACAGAACUAAGCUGGGGCAUGUAUGACAUUUCAAGCUCUCAGAUCAGCCCUUGAUGGCCACCAUCCAUAUUUAUUGACAUGAAAAGAAGUCCUCAUUUUGUCAAAGCCAAUGAUAUUCAGGACUGUUAUUAAUAACAAAAUACAAUUCUUCCCUCUACCCACUACAGUGUAUCAUGAAACUCUUCAAACAUAUAGGAAAGUUGAGUAUGGAAUCUCUAUCUCCAGCCUUGAGGUCUCACCUGGACUCUUGGUUAUUCAAUGGACUACUCUGCAUCUCCAUGUGCAUCUCUAAUAUAGACUCCUCAACCUUAAUGUAUCCACAACUGAACCUUUGGUUCUGUACCACUCCCGUCUUGCUCCUUGUCUCUCCGUUUCCCCAUCUCAGAAAUUAACAACUUCAUCUUUCCAGUUACUUUUCCUUCCUUCCUUCCUUCCUUCCUUUCCUUCCUUCCUUCUCUCUCUUUUCUUUUUUGAGAGUCUCACUCUGCCACUCAGGCUAGAGUGCAGUGGUGCACUGCAACCUCCACCUUCUGGGUUUUAGUACAGACAGGGUUUUACCAUGUUGGCCAGGCUGUUCACGAACUCCUCACCUUAAGUGAUCCACCUGCCUUGGCCUCCCAAAGUGCUGGGAUGACGGGCGUGAGCCACCGUGCCCGGCCCAUCUUUCCAGUUUCUUGGGACAAAAACCAAAGAUCUACUUUUCUCCUUUGCCAUAUGAGGACACAUUUAAAAGGCUGUGAACAAGGAUGCAGGCUCUUACCAGUUACCAAACUGCUGGUGCCUUGGUCUUACAUUUCCCAGCCCCCAGAGUGCAAGAAAAAAAAUUUUGGUUGUUUAUAAACGACUCAGUCUUGGUAUAUUUGUCAUAGCUGUCUGGGCAGACUAAAACAUGCACAUAAACAACCCUGUUUUCUGCCUUAACAAAUCAGGUAUUUAAAUAUAUGUUCCUGAUUCUUCCCAUAAUGUGUCAUUUGUAAUUUCAGUAAUAUAAUUUCAGACUGUUUAAAAAGCUUUUUGUUCAACCCAGUUUUACAACUGGAUUACUGAGUUGUCUAAAAUCCAAAACACUAUCAUUUAAGCCAGCAUUUUAGAUGCCUGAUCGUUUCAGUCAGGGUUCUCCAGAGAGACAGAACCAAUAGGGGAUACAGACAUGAGAGGGCAUUUAUUAAGGGAAUUGACUCAUGCAAUUAUGUAGCCUGAGAAAUCCCAUGACGGGCCAUCUGCAAGCUGGAGACCCUGAGAUUCUGGCAGCAUGGCUCAGUCAAAGUGUGACAGCCUCAGAACCAAGCUGAUGGCGUAACUCAGUCCAAAGACCCAAGGCCUGAGAACCUCAGGGCCACUGGUAUAAGUCCCAAAGACCAAAGGCCGGAGAGCCUGGAGUUGUGAUAUUGAAGAGCAAGAGAAGAGUGUUCCAGAGAGACAGAGAGAGAGAGAGAAUUCACCUUUCCUCUGCCUUUUGCUCUGUUGGGCUCACAGCUGAUUGGAAGGUGCCCAAAGAUAUUGAUGGCAGAUCUCUUCCACUCAGUCCACUGACUCACAUACCAGUCUCCCCUGGAAACACCCUCAGAGACACAUCCAGAAAUAAUGCUCCAUCAGUUGUCUAGGUAUUCCUUAACCCAAUCAAGUUGACACCUAAAAUUAACCAUCACAUUGAUUUACUUCCCGAAUCCUCUAUCCCAACUCUCAAAUAUGGUUUCAGGAUUCCUG